rnacentral:tRNA from 2 species
GCCCCUGUAGCUCAGGGGAUAGAGCACUGGAUUCCUAAUCCAGGUGUCGCAGGUUCGAUUCCUGCCAGGGGUA